rnacentral:rRNA from 1 species
GCUCAACCGAGGAAGUGCUUCGAAAACUGGUAAACUUGAGUGCAGAAGAGGAAAGUGGAACUCCAUGUGUAGCGGUGGAAUGCGUAGAUAUAUGGAAGAACACCAGUGGCGAAGGCGGCUUUCUGGUCUGUAACUGACGCUGAGAUUCGAAAGCAUGGGUAGCAAACUGGAUUAGAUACCCUGGUAGUCCAUGCCGUAAACGAUGAGUGCUAAGUGUUGGAGGGUUUCCGCCCUUCAGUGCUGCAGCUAACGCAUUAAGCACUCCGCCUGGGGAGUACGAUCGCAAGAUUGAAACUCAAAGGAAUUGACGGGGGCCCGCACAAGCGGUGGAGCAUGUGGUUUAAUUCAAAGCAACGCGAAGAACCUUACCAGGUCUUGACAUACCAUGAAAAGCUUAGAGAUAAGUCUUUCCCUUCGGGGACAUGGAUACAGGUGGUGCAUGGUUGCCGUCAGCUCGUGUCGUGAGAUGUUGGGUUAAGUCCCGCAACGAGCGCAACCCUUAUUAUCAGUUGCCAGCAUUCAGUUGGGCACUCUGGUGAGACUGCCGGUGAUAAACCGGAGGAAGGUGGGGACGACGUCAAAUCAUCAUGCCCCUUAUGACCUGGGCUACACACGUGCUACAAUGGUCGGUACAACG